UGAAUACGAGAUGCUACGGCAUUGAAGCAGUGUAUGUCAGACUUCCAAGAAAAGCUCGCAAUGUCAUAAACAAUAAAUGCCUGUACCAUAACCGACACAGGUGGGUAGGUAGAGUAUACUAAGGGGCGCGAGAUAACUCUCUCUAAGGAACUCGGCAAAAUGACUCCGUAACUUCGGGAGAAGGAGUGCCUUAUUUUAUAAGGUUGCAAUAACAAGAUCCAAGCAACUGUUUACCAAAAACACAGGUCUCCGCUAAGUCGAAAGACGAUGUAUGGGGGCUGACGCCUGCCCAGUGCCAGAAGGUUAAAGAAGUUGGUUAGCUUCGGCGAAGCUGAUGACUGAAGCCCUGGUGAACGGCGGCCGUAACAAUAACGGUCCUAAGGUAGCGAAAUUCCUUGUCGGGUAAGUUCCGACCCGCACGAAGGGCGUAAUGAUUUGGAUACUGUCUCGGAGAGGGGCUCGGUGAAAUAGACUUGUCUGUGAAGAUGCGGACUACCUGCACCUGGACAGAAAGACCCUAUGAAGCUUUACUGUAACUUGAGAUUGAAAUUGGACUUUAUUUGCGCAGUAUAGGUGGGAGACGUUGAGAAUAUUCUUGCGGGAAUAUUGGAGUCAUCAGUGAGAUACCACUCUUGUAAUGUUAGAUUUCUAACUUUGUAUCAUUAUCUGGUCAAAGGACAGUUUCAGGCGGGCAGUUUGACUGGGGCGGUCGCCUCCUAAACGGUAACGGAGGCGCACAAAGGUUUCCUCUGAACGUGUAGAAAUCGUAUCUAGAGUGUAAAGGCAUAAGGAAGCUUGACUGUGAGACCUACAAGUCGAGCAGGGACGAAAGUCGGUCUUAGUGAUCUGACGGUGCUGAGUGGAAAGGCCGUCACUCAACGGAUAAAAGUUACUCUAGGAUAACAGGCUGAUCUCCCCCAAGAGUUCACAUCGACGGGGAGGUUUGGCACCUGGAUGUCGGCUCAUCGCAUCCUGGGGCGGUAGUACGUCCCAAGGGUUGGGCUGUUCGCCCAUGAAAGCGGUACGCGAGCUGGGUUCAGAACGUCGUGAGACAGUUCGGUCCAUAUCCGGUGUAGGCGUUAGAAUAUUGAGAGGAGCCUUCUUUAGUACGAGAGGACCGAGAAGGACAUACCUCUGGUGUACCAGUUAUCGUGCCAACGGUAAACGCUGGGUAGCUAUGUAUGGAGUGGAUAACCGCUGAAAGCAUCUAAGUGGGAAGCCCACCUCAAGAUAAGUAUUCUCAUA
rnacentral:rRNA from 1 species